rnacentral:snRNA from 1 species
AUACUUAGCCUGGCGCGGGGGGAUACCGUGAUCAAGAAGGCGGUGCUCCAGGACGAAGGCCUGUACAUUGCACUCCGUAUGGGCUGACUCCUGCGACUAUCCCACCCAAAUCGGGGUGGUCGAGCGCAUAAUUUUUGGUAGUGGGGACAAGCGUUUCGCGCUGUCCCUU